rfam:Candidatus Woesearchaeota archaeon CG1_02_57_44 cg1_0.2_scaffold_329_c, whole genome shotgun sequence.
GCGGGGAUGCCGGAGUGGUCAAACGGGACAGGCUUAGGACCUGUUGGCCUAGCGUCUACGCAGGUUCGAACCCUGCUCCCCGCA